GUCAAUUUGCUAUAGGGUAAGGCACGCGAGAACAGGGAUCGACUUCCUCCUCCGAUCUCCGGCCACCUCUGCUCCAUCUCAUCACCACCAUCACCGGCAAGGAUGAAGGGCUUUUCCUUACUUAGUCUGGUGAUCUCUCACUCCUCCGUCCGUCCAUUUCUCAUCUUCCUCACACCCGAAGACAACUUCAUUGCCACUUCUUCCGACAUCAAACAACACCGCCGAUCUAAGCUGAGUCGAUCGUCGGAGUUAUGAACGAGAUAGCGAUUUUCCAUCGCCUCUAAAUUCUGCAUCCACUUGUUCAGAUCAUUCAGCUCCAUCUCAGCUUGGCGACAUCUCUGAUCAAUCUCCUCCGUUCUUUUUCACAUCCGGGUAAAGCUGAUACAAGUUAGGGGAAGCCCUAGCUUGGUUUAUAAGCAUCAUUUAGAGUUCUAGAUUCAUUCAUUGUUGGUUGUAGAUCUCAUUCAUGGAUCAAUUUGAUAGAAGCAUGCUUAAGUUUAAUUCCCGUAUACACUUUGCUUGAAUUUGAUUGAUUCUUGAUUAAUUGAUCAGCAGUUAAUUUUAGUUAGGUUUGCUGUUCAUGUUCUUGUUUGGUUUUAUUAAGGAAUUAGAGUUGACAAUUAAUUCUGCUUCUGAUGGUUUUCUUUCCAAUUGCAUGAGUUGGUUUGUAUUCAAGCUUAGUUCCUUUAUUUUCGAUUCGAUGCAUAGGAUAGAUUAGAUUAAGUUCGUCAAAUGCCUUGUGUUCUUUAGUUCAUUGCAAUCAUAAUUUAGGUUAGAUUAGGUUAUUUUCAUUACUUGUCAUUAGAUUUAGCAUCUCAAAACCCAAAACCCCCAGUUUCGAAUAAACUUGAUCUUAAGAUUUAUCACACGCCAACUACAUUCCUUGAGAGACGAUCUGAGUCAACUCUAUACUGUAUUAGUGUAGAAGGGUUUCAGUAAUAAUAUUUGAUACCAUUUCAUGAUAAAAAUAGUUUAUCAAAUUGGGCAUCGUUGUCGAGUGUAGAGGUGUUUUAUAAUUUUAGGAUUAUUUUCUACUUUUACAUAAAAAUUUGGAAAAAAAAAUUGUUAUUGAGUAUUUUAAUGCUUAGAUAUUCAUGUAUUUGAUCUUAUAUGUUCCUGUGUCUUCUGAUCUUAUUUUCUAGUGUUUUAGUGUAAGAGCAGGAAAUUUCUUUGGCCAUGGCUCUAUAUUAUUAACAUUUUGGUGGUAGGAUGGAGAGUUAGUACUAUGAGUCUAAGCAACCUCAAUACUAUCAUCCUGAACGUCAUUAUUAUCAGCCUCAGACUCAAUAUUACCAAAUUGAACCUCAAUACUACCCACUCGUGGAGUAGCCAAAUAGGAUACACAAGGUCAAUUUAUUGAGCCAUAUACACUAUAUCAGAGUCCAUAGGGAUUUCAAGAUGAUCUUAUGCCUAUCUAGUCACAUCCAAUCCAGCAGAUCAAGCCAAGGGGACAUUUCAAAAGUCCAGUGAAGAAAUUCCUGCCCUUAAACAACGAAAUUUGUCAAUACAGGAGCUUAAGGAGCUUGUCUAGCAAAUGACAUUGCAACAACAAUAAUUUUCAUUGCAAUUAGCAUCUUAUACUUUCCAAUCCCAACCAGAAAUUGAUGAAUCUAAGUUAGAAAUUGCAAAUGCAGUUGGAUCAACUUACAGCAUUUGACGCCCAGCAACAAGUGCAAUACUCGAGUGUUGUUGGAAAUGUUAAGGUUGAUGAGGAAAGACUUGUGUUGUAGAGACAAAGCCCUAAGAAUCACUUCCUUUAGUUGUACAUUCACCUUAUCCAGAGCUUGAACCAGAGCCAGAGCCCUUACUUGAUCAAGAGGAGGCCACGGUCAUUGUUUCAGAACUUCCAGGUACCUUCCAACAUGACAAGGAGGUGUUGUCCUUCCUUGGCUUUGCAGGUCACUAUAGGCUUCUAGAAUGGUUGUUCUAUCUAAACCGCCUCCAACCUCUAAGGAGAACUUUCAAGGAGCAAAUGGUUGAAGGAGAGGUGUUUGCGUCAAUUCUUAGUAUUCCACCUCCAUCUUGGAUUCUGCACCUUAACCGCCUUCAACCACCUGGAGAUACUUACAGGGAGGCAAUUAUGGAGGGAGCGACAUUUAUUGACACUGAGUACAUGAGGAUAGCUCCCUCUUCUAUCCAGACCAUCCCACUACCAGCGUGGAUAUUGCUUCUAAAUUGUCUUCAGCUGCCAGGAAUAAAAGGGAUAGGAGCACUCGAUCUCAUCUCCCACUACUAUUUGGAUUCCUUAUCUUCUCAAAACUUCUGUGACCUGAAGCAUGCAACUCCCAUGGUGUGAAUUCUGGAAACCAGCUGUUUUAGUGUUAUUUGUGUUCUGUUUUUCUCAAAUUGCCUGAGAUCAGGAAUCUGGAGCAAGAAUCAGAUUGCUUUGCCAAAUUUCUGGGGGCUUUGAACCCUGAGAAUUCUGUUGAAUCUUAAAGUCUGAAACCUAAUUAACAGAAACAGAAAAGGAAACCGGUUCUACCUCAAAGAGUUAAUGUGCCAAACCCUUGUACUGUUCCUAACCAGCAUAGUUGUGAAUUCAAAUUUUAAUGAUUUCGGUGCUAAAUAAUACUCUCCUCCAAGCUUAACUCUUUAUAACCUUAACUGAAAUUACUUUGGAAUCUCAAUUCUGAAACUCUGAGAUUUGAUUCUGGAAUUCUGGAUUGAAUCAGAAGUGGCCUCUGAUAGCUGGCAAUUGGUUUUGAACUUUAAAAGUUUUUUUUUGGUGUAGCAAUUGGUGGGGAGUUGUUGAACUUUAUUAGAUGCUGGAUUGAUGCAACUAGUGUGAAUUCUACAACUCAAAGAACUUGUUAGGACCUCAGUUUCUGGGAUCUCAGUGAACAACUCAAUAGGUUCUGGAAUUCUGAUGCAAGAAAUGAAAUGAGUUCUCUGUUUCUGCAUAAGGUUCAGAAUUUUGAAACUAGGUCAACAGAAAAAAAAAAUGGGGACUGUGACAAUGAAGGAAUCUGAUUUUGAUUAUAGGUUUCAGCCAGCUGUAGGGUUGUUUCCUCACCUAUGUUCUUCAGAUUACUGCUGAACUCAAAAAACCCAUUGUGAUACUUUCCAUUAUCUCGGCAGAAUAAUAUGGAAACUGAAGUAUAGCAAUAAGGCUUUGAGUUGCACAUGAAUGCUGAAAAUGAAGUCUGGAAGAAAAGAAAGCAGAAAACAAAAUCAGUGACAUUUCAGAAAGCAAUAAGGCAUGGUUUCCUAGAUGCAAAGAUUGACCCAAGCCUGAGACUUCUUUAAAAUCUAAAUUGAUGUUGAAUCAGGUUUCUGAAGGCCUGGUUAUUGGACCUGAAUAGCUGCAUCUUUAGAGAAAUCUGCGAAAGGAAACCGGAAAAAUGAAAUUCUGUUUGGUGCCAAAUUCAUAUGCUACCUCUGAACAUCAACUGAUAGAAAUCAAAAUUCUGUCACUCGGGUGCUAAGUGAUACCUUCUAGUGAGCCUAAUUCUGUAUGACUUAAGGCAGAAGUUUCUAGGAUUCCAAAUUCUGGAACUGAAGCUGUUAAAAAAACAGAAUCUAGAAUUCAACUUCAUUGCUGAAAUUCUUUGGCAAGAUUCUUUGUAUCUGAUUUUUGAAGCCAUGAACUGAAGAGAUGGAUUCAUUUCUGAGAUGGCAUUACUAUAACUCCAAAGGAUGGGCAGUUGAUCAAGCAGUGUCAGGAAAAGAUUUUGAAAAAAAAAGCUGUAGAAUUUGAACCAGAAGAAGAAAUGGAAAAUUUGAUAACUGAAUUUGGAGUAUCAGUCAUCAAAAAUGAAUUCUGAAUUACUGAAAAGUUGUACAUUUUCAGAAUACAAACUCAAGAAGAUUACAGGGACUUGGCAACAAAAGGUGAAUUCUGAUCAUCUUCUCAGAAUCAAGAAGGUUUCAUCUCCAUUGUUGUAGUUUAUAAAAAUUUAGUAUUUGGAAGGGUGUAACCGAGACAUUAGAUUUUUGCAAGGUAAUAGCCAAAAAUGCUACACUGAUACACAAUCUGGAAUCAAAUUUCUGAAACUGAAUCUAAGAAGCUGAUUUCGGAAACAGGAAAUGCAGAAGUGCUGAGUUAAAAGAAAUCGUUAAGAAGCUGCUGUUAUCUGAGUCUGUAAAUGCUGCUAAUCAGAUAACAGAGUCAAGGCUGUGGCCACAGUAAAUGUGAUGAUCAUUCGGUCCAUUGAUAGUGAAAUUUGAACUAACACAGAAUUUGUUUUUACCUGAACAAAGACUCCAGAAUGUAGAGAUUCUGGAACUGUGGUUUUAGCAAAAUAUGCAACUGAAAUUGAAAGUGUACAGAAUUUCAAGGUUUCUGAAAUUUUGGUUUCCAAUUCAUUGAUCCCAAUGAUACUUACAAUAAGGCUUACUGAUUUAUCUAUAAAUUGGUUGGAUCAAAUGGUUGUGAAGGAAGAAAAAAGAUGACGUUGGGUGAUUAUAUUUGGAAUCAUACAAUAUCCAAAGAACAUGGCUGCAAGAAGUAAUUAUACUUCAUUGAUGGUAAAACAGAUCCAACAUUAAAUGCAGACUAACUCAUCAAGUUUAUUUUUCUAAUACUCUCACUUCCUCAUUGAUUCUUUUUCUUUUUUUUUUCUUGCUUCACUUAGUUCUUUUUGGUCUCAUUCCUAUUCUUAAUAAAUCCUUAUGAUUCAUGCAUGUUAUAUUUUUAUGUUAAUGGAAAAUUAGAAAACAAGCAAAUUUAUGGUAGUGAAAUGUUAUUGAGUGAGCUCCACUUAUACACAUGAUUGUGAGAGUUAAAGUAGGUACAUUUACCCGGUGAGGUUACAUCUUGCUUAAUUGUUCAAAUGGAUGAAAUUACCAUACCUAUUGAUUAUUGUAGGGAUUGUAUUCAUGAUUGUUUUGAUCUUUUGAUGGUCUUAGUGAAAUUCUUUUACUAUCUUCUAAAUAUUGCUAAGAAAUUAUUAGAGAGAUAAUUUUUAGUUAGUUCUUAGUUUUGUUUGCUUGCUCGAGGCGUGUAAGAAUAAGUGUGGGAGAUUUGAUAACACUAUCAUUUUGUCGCGUUAUUUAAGAUCCUAUACUCAUGUUUUUGAGCUGAUUGGGUGUUUAAAUUUGCAUUUAUAUCAUAUUUCACGAGUUUAGAUUCAUUUAGCUUUGAUGUGAUUUAUAUUAUAUUUGUGAAAUUAUGUGCUAAUUUGUAAAAUUAAUUUUGUAUUGAUCUAGACUGUUCAUCUAAGAUCUGAAGGAAUCUGGGUCAACCAUCACGAUCUAGUCCAUCCAAGUCAAAGAGGAAGUAGAUCAUCACAAUUGACCAAGAUCUGGAGCUUUUGAUCGAUCUGAACUGAUCGAGCCGUUAGAUCAGAUCUGAUCUGAAACAUUCUCAGUCAUUGAUCAAGAUCUAUUAGAUUCAAAAGAUCAAUUUGCUACAGGGUAGCGCGCGAGAAUAGGGAUCAACUUCCUCCUCCAAUCAUCAGCCACCUCCACUUCAUCUCAUCACCACCAUCACGGACAAGGAUCAAGGGCUUUUCCUUCCUCAGUCUGGUGAUCUCUCACUACUCCAGCCAUCCACUUCUCAUCUUCCUCACACCCAACGACAACCUCAUCGCCACUUCUUCUGAUGCCAAACAACACCGUCGAUCUGAGCUGAGUCGAUUGUCAGAGUUAUGAGCGAGAUAGGGAUUUUCCAUCAUCUCUGAAUUCUGCAUCUAGUUGUUCAAAUCGGCACUUCAACUUCAUCUCAGCUUGGCGACAUCUCUGAUCAAUCUCCUUUGUUCUUUUUCACAUCCGGUUAAAGCUGAUACAAUUUAGGGGAAGCCCUAGCUUGGUUUGUAAACAUCAUUUAGAGUUCUAGAUUCAUUCAUUGUUGGUUGUAGAUUUCAUUCAUGUGAUCAAUUUAAUAGAAGCAUAUAUGCUUAAGUUCAAUUCCCGUAUACACUUUGCUUGAA